rnacentral:rRNA from 1 species
UACGGAGGAUCCAAGCGUUAUCCGGAUUUAUUGGGUUUAAAGGGUGCGUAGGCGGCUUUUUAAGUCAGGGGUGAAAGACGGCAGCUCAACUGUCGCAGUGCCUUUGAUACUGAAGAGCUAGAAUAAACUUGAGGUAGGCGGAAUGUGACAAGUAGCGGUGAAAUGCAUAGAUAUGUCACAGAACACCAAUUGCGAAGGCAGCUUACUAAAGUUUAAUUGACGCUGAGGCACGAAAGCGUGGGGAUCAAACAGG